ACUCCUACGGGAGGCAGCAGUAGGGAAUCUUCCGCAAUGGGCGAAAGCCUGACGGAGCAACGCCGCGUGAGUGAAGAAGGUCUUCGGAUCGUAAAACUCUGUUAUUAGGGAAGAACAAAUGUGUAAGUAACUAUGCACGUCUUGACGGUACCUAAUCAG
rnacentral:rRNA from 1 species